rnacentral:tRNA from 1 species
CGGGGCAUAGCUCAGCCUGGUAGAGCGCUUGGUUCGGGACUAAGAGGUCGCAAGUUCAAGUCUUGUUGCCCCGACCA